rnacentral:hammerhead_ribozyme from 1 species
GCACUACCGAGGAGCCCCAUAAUAGGGCGAAACGGCCGUUCAGUGC